rnacentral:rRNA from 1 species
UACCGGAUAAGCCCACGACGGCUUUGGUCGUUGCGGGAAAAGGGGGGGACCAUUUGGCCUUCUGUCAUCAGAUGAGUCUGCGUACCAUUAGCUAGUUGGUAGGGUAAAGGCCUACCAAGGCGACGAUGGUUAGCUGGUCUGAGAGGAUGAUCAGCCACACUGGAACUGAGACACGGUCCAGACUCCUACGGGAGGCAGCANUGGGGAAUU